UACCGUGAAAAAAUUAGAGUGUUCAAAGCAGGCAGAUCCAAUUUUCUGCCACCGAAUACAUUAGCAUGGGAUAAUGGAAUAGGACCCUGUCCUCCUAUUUUCAGUUGGUUUUGGCAGCGCGAGGACUAGGGUAAUGAUUAAUAGGGAUAGUUGGGGGCAUUAAUAUUUAAUUGUCAGAGGUGAAAUUCUUGGAUUUAUGAAAGAUUAACUUCUGCGAAAGCAUCUGCCAAGGAUGUUUUCAUUAAUCAAGAACGAAAGUUAGGGGAUCGAAGACGAUCAGAUACCGUCGUAGUCUUAACCAUAAACGAUGCCGACCAGCGAUUAGGAGACGUUGAAUACAAAACACCACCAUCGGCGCGGUCGUCCUUGGCGUCGGUCCUUCACGGGGCCGGCGCGAGGGCGGCUUAGCCCGGUGGCACCGGUGAAUGACUCCCCUAGCAGCUUGUGAGA
rnacentral:rRNA from 1 species